rnacentral:rRNA from 1 species
GAUGAACGCUGGCGGCGUGCCUAAUACAUGCAAGUCGAGCGAACAGACGAGGAGCUUGCUCCUCUGACGUUAGCGGCGGACGGGUGAGUAACACGUGGAUAACCUACCUAUAAGACUGGGAUAACUUCGGGAAACCGGAGCUAAUACCGGAUAACAUGUUGAACCGCAUGGUUCAACAGUGAAAGACGGUCUAGCUGUCACUUAUAGAUGGAUCCGCGCCGCAUUAGCUAGUUGGUAAGGUAACGGCUUACCAAGGCAACGAUGCGUAGCCGACCUGAGAGGGUGAUCGGCCACACUGGAACUGAGACACGGUCCAGACUCCUACGGGAGGCAGCAGUAGGGAAUCUUCCGCAAUGGGCGAAAGCCUGACGGAGCAACGCCGCGUGAGUGAAGAAGGUCUUCGGAUCGUAAAACUCUGUUAUUAGGGAAGAACAAAUGUGUAAGUAACUAUGCACGUCUUGACGGUACCUAAUCAGAAAGCCACGGCUAACUACGUG